GUUGGUUAUUUUUGGGCUAAGGAAGGGUGAUGAGAUCUCCACUUUAUCUUGUUAUGGGUGUUGUCCUUAAAUUGAUUUGAGAUGAAUAUGCACAACUAAUUUCAAACAAGGAGUUCUAUGUAACUAAAUUAGAUGCAUGAAAUUAAUCAAACUUGAAAGCUUACCUUAUCUCCAGCGAUCACCAAAAGUAAAUCUAAGAUGAUGAAUGUUUCUAAACAAUUAAAUUUCUACUCCUGU
rnacentral:lncRNA from 1 species